UAAAUAUUAAACUUUAACUUUUUAAUUAAAAUUAACUCACUAUAGGCCUAUUGUAUUACUAGAAAGAGGGGCUAAAAUAAUGAAUUCCGUUAUGUUGGCUUAAUUGUUCAGUCAUGUAUAUAGUUGCUCAAACAAACGAAUGAAGAUGGCAUGAUCAUGAAUUAAAAUAUUAUGAUGAUAAAAAAUAUAUUAAUUUAUUAUAUUAUAAUUAUUAUAUCAAACCAAAAAGUAAAUUAAUGAAAGUAAGUAUAAUAAAACAACAAUAACACAUAAACAAAACACCCAACAUGCAGCUGAACAACAAAUUUCAACUAUCAAAUCAAUGACUAAUGCGUUUUAUGUUUAUAUUUUUAAUAGGAGAAAGCGAUGAUUUAAAAUUAAAAAAGAAGCGAGACGAUGAUGGCGGACUGUCUACGUAUUUUAAACCUCUACGAUUACGGGAAAAAAGAAGAAAAUUUAAAAAAUAAAAAUGACGACAUACAUGUAGGAAUAACCUUGUCAAUAAAUCAAUUCCAGAGGUUUACACUUAAAUCCUUCUGGUAGUUUGUUAUUACAAAACAAUUUUAAAUUAUUACUUAAAAAUUGACUAUGUGAAAAUGUGAGCGCUAAUUAAUUCUCAAGAAUCAUGUCUGGCACUUUUCCUAAUUGUGCAAAUACUAGGGGGUUUAAAAUGGCCUUACUUAAUAUAGCCAGCUUACCCAAACAUGUUGAUGAACUACGCAUAUCUAAACUCUUUUCGAAUUUUGAUUUAUUCGCUUUAAAUGAAACUAGAUUAGACAAUACCAGCCGAAUAUAAAAACAGCCGAAUAUAAGACCAAACAGCCGAAUAUAAAAAUAGAUCAAGACAAAAUUAAGCAAGUUCAGCAUAGUGGACUACUUGGGGUUGAAAUUGAUGAAAGAUUGUCUUGAAACAAGCAUGUUGAAAACGUAUCCAAAAAGGCUACUUCCGGCAUAGGGGCAAUAAGAAGAAUCCGAGAUUUUGUGGAUAGAGAAACCAAUUCCUGGGCAUUGGUUUUUCAACUCGACUUCAAAAAUUUCAGAAUAGAGCUCCAAGGAUAAUAAUGAGUAUGAAAAAUGAUACCCCUGGAUUAGAAGCAAUUUCUGCUUUAAAGUGGGAAACUCUUGAGUCUCAACGAACCAAGUCAAAAGCAAUUCAAAUGUAUAAAGUUUUAAAUGCAGCGAAAAUUGACGAGGCUAGCGGGUUGUUUUAAAUAAAGUUUACCUACCUACGUACCUACGCGUAUAUAUGCAUGUUUACUAAAUAAUCAUGCUACAGUCCUGGUUCUUUAAUUAUGUCAGAAACAGGUACGAUUUAAAUAUAAAUAUUACUAAGUAAGCCUGCGCCCCGCUGUGGUCUGAUUUGUUGACAAUAACAUGAUAUUUUUAAAUAAUUAUAUAUAGCUACAUGCAUGCAUGAAACAAAACAGGGAAAAAGUUAAUGAUAACGUUAAGUGUACAUAUCUUACUAUAGGCGGUGGGACAUGUCGGGAAGGG